GGGGGUGUGGCUCAGUGGUAGAGUGCUUGCCUAGGAAGCAUGAGGUCCCGAGUUCAAUCCCCACUACCCCCA